rfam:Schistosoma mattheei strain Denwood, Zambia genome assembly, scaffold: SMTD_scaffold0001822
GGUUUUCUGAAUUCAUGCUGAAAUUUCAUCCGAAACCAAACCACCAUAGCUGAUGGAAUUUCAAAGACAAAUAAAGUG